GACGAACGCUGGCGGCGUGCCUAAUACAUGCAAGUCGAGCGGGGAUUAUGCUUGAUCGCUUCGGUGAGACGGCAUAUAUCCUAGCGGCGGACGGGUGAGUAACGCGUGGGUAAUCUACCUCGUAGUUCGGGAUAACAGGCCGAAAGGCUUGCUAAUACCGGAUGAGUUCAUGCUUAUGCAUAUAGGCAUGAAGAAAGGGCUAGCCCGCUAUGAGAUGAGCCCGCGUCCCAUUAGCUUGUUGGUGGGGUAACGGCCUACCAAGGCAACGAUGGGUAGCCGGCCUGAGAGGGUGUACGGCCACACUGGGACUGAGACACGGCCCAGACUCCUACGGGAGGCAGCAGUGGGAAUAUUGGGCAAGUGGGCGCAAGCCUGACCCAGCAACGCCGCGUGAGGGAGAAGGCUUUCGGGUUGUAAACCUCUGUCCUUGGGUGACGAAACAAUGAACGGUAGACCAAGGGACGGAACGCCCCGGACUAAACCCUCGGUCGCCAGCCAGGCCCGACGGGU
rnacentral:rRNA from 1 species